CUAACUUCUGCUGCAGUUCCAAAGUCCCUUCCCUUGUUUCAACAUCGACACCUGGAGGCUGCGGCUGAGUAUCGACUUCAGUAGAAACUGUAGAAACAUCAGAUGAACCAGCAGCAGAUGAAACAGAAAUUUGAGCAAUACUAUUGUUUGUAGGCUUUGGCUUCCAUUCCAUACCAGGACCAGCUUUUUGUGGCCCAACCAGUGGUGAUCGGUUAUUGUAAUUAGGUGUAGGUCUACUAAGAG
rnacentral:misc_RNA from 1 species